rnacentral:misc_RNA from 1 species
UCUCCGUAGGUGAACCUGCGGAGGGAUCAUUACAGAGUUCAUGCCCUACCGGGUAGAUCUCCCACCCUAUGUUAUUAUUACUUUGUUGCUUUGGCGGGCCGUUAGGCUCCGGCCCGACUACCGGCCCCGGCUGGUAAGCGCCCGCCAGAGGACCCAAAACCCUGAAUAUUAGUGUCGUCUGAGUAAUAUAUAAUAGUUAAAACUUUCAACAACGGAUCUCUUGGUUCUG